CAGUAGCCGCGGGAAUACGUAGGGGGCGAGCGUUGUCCGAAGUUACUGGGCGUAAAGAGCGCGUAGGCUGGUCUUUAAGUGAGUGGUGAAAGGUUCGGGCUCAACCCGGACACUGCCUUUCAUACUGGGGACCUUGAGUGUGGGAGAGGCGAGUGGAAUGGUCGGUGUAGCGGUGAAAUGCGUAGAUAUCGAUCGGAACACCCAUGGCGAAGGCAGCUCGCUGGCCUAACACUGACGUUGAGGCGCGAAAGCGUGGGGAGCAAACAGGAUUAGAUACCCCCGUAGUCCCUGUCUCUUAUAC
rnacentral:rRNA from 1 species